AUAUUAUAAUUGGGCGUUCCAAAGACAGCAGGUGGCUUAGGCCGUAAGUCCUGCCGAGGACAGCCGACAUUUUAUUGUUUGCUUAUGUCCUUGUGCCUAUGGCGCAGGGACAUUUUUAUUUGGACG
rfam:Sporobacter termitidis DSM 10068 genome assembly, contig: EK05DRAFT_scaffold00007.7